AUUGAACGCUGGCGGCAUGCCUUACACAUGCAAGUCGGACGGUAACAGGUCUUCGGAUGCUGACGAGUGGCGAACGGGUGAGUAAUACAUCGGAACGUGCCUAGUAGUGGGGGAUAACUACUCGAAAGAGUGGCUAAUACCGCAUGAGAUCUACGGAUGAAAGCAGGGGAUCGCAAGACCUUGUGCUACUAGAGCGGCCGAUGGCAGAUUAGGUAGUUGGUGGGACAAAAGCUUACCAAGCCGACGAUCUGUAGCUGGUCUGAGAGGACGAUCAGCCACACUGGGACCGAGACACGGCCCAGACUCCUACGGGAGGCAGCAGUGGGGAAUUUUGGACAAUGGGCGCAAGCCUGAUCCAGCAAUGCCGCGUGCAGGAUGAAGGCUUUCGGGUUGUAAACUGCUUUUGUACGGAACGAAAAGCCCUGGGUUAAUACCCUGGGGUCAUGACGGUACCGUAAGAAUAAGCACCGGCUAACUACGUGCCAGCCGCCGCCGUAAGAC
rnacentral:rRNA from 1 species